GAUGAAGAACGCAGCGAAAUGCGAUACUUGGUGUGAAUUGCAGAAUCCCGUGAACCAUCGAGUCUUUGAACGCAAGUUGCGCCCGAAGCCAUUAGGCCGAGGGCACGCCUGCCUGGGCGUCACACGUCGUUGCCCCCCCAUCUACUCCUUCGGGAUUGCGGGGGGCGGAUGAUGGCCUCUCGUGCGCCUCGUCGCGCGGUUGGCCUAAAUGCCAAGUCCUCGGCGACGCACGCCACGACAAUCGGUGGUUGCGAAACCUCGGUUGCCUGUCGUGUGUGGUCGUCGCGCAUCGAGGGCUCGAAAAAAUUGCCGGGCUUCGGCUCGACUUUCAACGCGACCCCAGGUCAGGCGGGGUUACCCGCUGAAUUUAAGCAUAUCAAUAAGCGGAGGA
rnacentral:misc_RNA from 1 species